CUCAGGAGCAGCGUUCGAUGAAGCCAGCGUUUCCAGUGUCCACGCAUGAGAUGCUGCAUGAGAUGCCUGCACUGCACACCAGGCAUUGGCCAUGAGACUGUGUCUCCAUCAGCCAUCUUCAUCUACUCUGCACCACUGCUAAGGCCCCUUUCACUGCCCCUCCCUCCCCUGGACAGCUUCAGCUGUCUGCAGUCCCCGCCCCUCUGCUCUGUGGCAUCACCGUGAGGCACUGAGCAGCCCCAGGCAGGGAUGUUCCCUCGUGGGCCCUAUCACAGGGCCUGGCCACUUGCACGGCUCUCUGUUGCAGCCGCCUUGAGUCCUCAGGAGGUCAGGCUGCCCAGUGGGCAGUGACCAAGAGGGACAAUGUCCCCUCACCCAUGCGGUACGUGCCAAUGUCCCACGUUCCUGCUAUAGUGUCCUCACUCCAUGAGUGGACAAUGCAGGGAGGGGAGGAACCCCAUCAUGCUGAUCUCCGAGAAGAUGGGGCCCAGCUGUGACAGGGCUGAGGACAGGGCACCUGAGGAAUGGGGAGCCAUGGGGGGUGGCUGGAUGGGGACACAGGGACCCUCUUGGGGACAGCACGGUUUGGUUAAGCGUGGAGAUUGGUUGUCGGGGUUUGUCCAGGGGGUCGCACCGAGCACUGACCAGCAGCGGGGAGUGGGGUCUGCCAAGGCCUCGGCCCGACGGUGGAACCGGACAGACUUUGAGGAUGAACAGAUUUCCACUUACCAAGAUUCUUCAUCCACAUCCGCGAGAGGUAUUCAGCGAGCCCUGCCCACGUCACGGCAGCUGUGAGAAGUUCUGGCACCUACGUGAGGACAGUACUACUCCCCUGAUGGCCACGGGCAGGCCAGGCGUUGGGGUGUCCUCCGGGUGCUGCCUGGCGUAGACUGGAGACGAUUGCACGAGGACAUUCUGGCUUCCUUUCUGUGCUUAGUGCCCAGGUCAGACUCGCUGCGGGGACAGGGCUGAGGGCCUGGGCCUGUGGGCCAGCACGGGAGGGCAGCUGGAGUAGAAAACAGCCGAGCUCUGAUUUGGGCCCUGGACACCCUCAGAGUCUGUGCCCAGCCGGCAUCCCACUGUGGACACUGGAGAGGCCUUUCCCUGGGCUGGAGGUCAGAGCCCCACAUGCGCACAGUGGGAGCAACUAAGACACCCUCAAGUGGGGCCACCCCUGGAGGAGGACUGGCUUAUCUCCCAGAAGGCCACAUAGGUGGGUUCUCUGGGGGGAAGGAACAGCCACCUGGAUCCCAGCCUUGGACCAGCACAAAUUGGAAGGGCAUGAAAUAGAAAUCGAAAUCAUUGCAAUUAGAAUUACAGGAAACAGAAGUCAUCAUUCACACGUGUUCUGACACGG
rnacentral:lncRNA from 1 species